GUUUAGUCGAAGCGGAUAUUAUAUAAUGUGUAUUAUAUAAAUUAUUAUAAAAACUAAUAACCACUUCAACGAAACGUCUAUAUAACAGUACUCAUAUUAUCAGGGAGUUAACAUUUUCAUCUUAAACAUUGUAUUGACAGUCUCACAAACUUAUAAUAUAUCAUAUUGUCUCACAACGCUCAACACAAACAUACACGGAAAAAAAGUUCAAUUUUUUUCAAAUAUUUCAACUGCACAAAUUAACAAUUUUCAAAAUAAAAUGGCUUCCCGUUCAGAUGAAACUUACAUCCAAAGAAAAAUUGAUGACAAUUACGAAUUAUUAGAAAAGACUUUGGAUGAAGAAG